CCUACGGGGCGCUGCAGUGGGGAAUAUUGGACAAUGGGCGAAAGCCUGAUCCAGCCAUGCCGCGUGUGUGAAGAAGGCCUUCGGGUUGUAAAGCACUUUCAGUGGGGAAGAAAGCCUUGGGGCUAAUACCCUCGAGGAAGGACAUCACCCACAGAAGAAGCACCGGCUAACUCCGUGCCAGCAGCCGCGGUAAUACGGAGGGUGCGAGCGUUAAUCGGAAUUACUGGGCGUAAAGCGCGCGUAGGCGGUCUGAUAAGCCGGUUGUGAAAGCCCCGGGCUCAACCUGGGAACGGCAUCCGGAACUGUCAGGCUAGAGUGCAGGAGAGGAAGGUAGAAUUCCCGGUGUAGCGGUGAAAUGCGUAGAGAUCGGGAGGAAUAACAGUGGCGAAGGCGGCCUUCUGGACUGACACUGACGCUGAGGUGCGAAAGCGUGGGUAGCAAACAGGAUUAGAUACCCCAGUAGUC
rnacentral:rRNA from 1 species